CCAUUCCCCGCUGCUAGGCAACAAACACGUUUCAAUCCUGUGAAAUUCAAGACCUCUGGGAUUUUUUUCUAAAUGAAGCUAAAGAAGACAUUCUAAAAAUAAUAUGAUCUGCGCGUUUGCAGUUCAUUCAACAUUUCUCUUCAGCAUGCAAGGACUGCUGUAAGAAGAGAGCACUUGUUAUGUGACGUCUCACUCCUUAAACUUAAGAUGAAGCGAAAGAGUCUGGCUUUUAGAAAGCAGGAGACAUACAAAACCCAUCGUAUGGCUCACACCUGAAGAAGAUUCAGCAGCUGAAAUGCAUGUACUGUAGCUCUUUCAACCUGUUGUACAUGGAACCAGCAUGUUUGGAGACCUUCCUUCAGAGUGUCACAUUAGUAAGAGGAGGAGUCAGUUUUCCAGAUGAGGCACCUAUGAGGCAAAAUUAACUUUCUAUCAAUUAAAGGUUGUCAUAAUAAACAAAGAUACAGUAGAUAUUUACAAUCUUGAAAGGUACUGAGAAAGUCAACCCAAAAGACUACUUCAGAACCAACAGAAACAAGGGCUCAAGACAAGAAACCAAAUAGCUGGAUGAACUCAUGAUUAAUGUCACGAUCGUAAAUCCCUCCUCUUAAGGGCGCUCCGGCUUUUUCCCAUUUUAGUUGAUUUUGUGCACCUGCCUCCUAUUCAGCCCCUCCCUAUUUAAGCCAGACUCUUCUUCCGUUCUGGGCUCAGCUUUGGAAGAUGGACGUCUGGAAGCCCGCCUACCAGCGGGUACUGGAGUGGCCCGACGGCAUAUGCUUCACCACGGCGUCCUGACCAUCUAGGUCCGGGGCUGGGAGCACCUGGCUCCGUUAACACUUUUUAUUCCUCGUCACUGCACCAGAUCCCGUUCCGGUUUUUUAAACCUUGUCUUGUCUGUCCUGGAUGGAUCACCUUGCUUUGGACACUUGGACUUCUCCCUGGAUUUACCCUUCAAACUCCUUUGGACUUGUACGCCUGGACCACCCCCGAGCACCAGUGCACAUUCGUCACGCCCCUCUGUUCAUCAACCUUCCCAGUUCCCCGUCGUCUUCUCCCUGUGUCUGUUUCACUCCCUUCCAGAUUCUGCCAGCUGCACAGGGUCCUGUUCUACGCUUCGUGACAAUUAAUAACCUAUAAGCAACCCCAUGAGCAAGACGGGCCAGCUGCUCUUUGUGACUU